GAUCAUGGCUCAGGAUGAACGCUAGCUACAGGCUUAACACAUGCAAGUCGAGGGGCAGCGGGAUUGAAGCUUGCUUCAAUUGCCGGCGACCGGCGCACGGGUGAGUAACGCGUAUCCAACCUUCCGUACACCCAGGGAUAGCCUUUCGAAAGAAAGAUUAAUACCUGAUGGUAUCUUAAGCACUACAUGUAAUUAAGAUUAAAGAUUUAUCGGUGUACGAUGGGGAUGCGUUCCAUUAGGUAGUAGG
rnacentral:rRNA from 1 species